GAUGAACGCUGGCGGCGUGCCUAAUACAUGCAAGUCGAGCGAACAGAUCAGGAGCUUGCUCCUCUGACGUUAGCGGCGGGCGGGUGUGUAACACGUGGAUAACCUACCUAUAAGACUGGGAUAACUUCGGGAAACCGGAGCUAAUACCGGAUAAUAUAUUGCACCGCAUGGUGCGAUAGUGAAAGACGGCUUUGCUGUCUCUUCUAGCUGGAUCCGGGCGGUAUUAGCUGGUUGGUAAGGUCACGGCCUAUCACGGCAAGGAUGCGUAGCCGACCUGAGGGGGUGGUCGCCGACCCGGGAAGUGAGACACGGUCCAGACUCCUGCGGGAGGCAGCAGUAGGGAAUCUGCCGCAAUGGGCGGAAGCCUGACGGAGCAACGCGGAGUGAGUGAUGGAGGUCUUGGGAUCGUAAAACUCUGUUAUGAGGGAAGAACAACUGUGUAAGUAGCUAUGCAGUUCUUGACGGUACCUGAUCAGAAAGCCACGGCUAACUACGUG
rnacentral:rRNA from 1 species